rnacentral:lncRNA from 1 species
UAUUCACCGUUCCUUUGAGUUCCUCGUAGAUUCUGGAUAUUAGUCCUUUGUUGGAGGUAUAGAUUGUGAAGAUUUUCUCCAAUUCAUCGCCGUUUUUUAGAGUUUUUCCUCACUAAAUAUUGACGAAUGGAACCUAGCCCUGUAACGUUGAUAGACGGGCGGGUCCGAAGUGGCUGAGGUGGAGUAUAUGCAGGAGAAGAACUGAGGCUCCUGAGUGCAGCAUCUUGUCCAAGAGGUUUCGUCCAAAUGCAUGGGGAACAUCCGCAUUGUGAUGUUUAGCUCUCAGCUUCCAACUUGGGCAUUCUAGCAUCUGUAUUUCUCAUUUAAUGUUUUAUGGGCACACAUGCAGAGGAGUUUUCGUCACUCAAAAGCCGGACAACUUCCCCUGCCAACCCAUUGGAAUUAAAAAAAACCUCGAUAACCUCUUAGACACAUGGAAAUGGAACCCUGAGCAGAGAUUUUGGUGGGUAUCUGUACCGCCUAAGGACCUUGGGUGGACCUGGCCAGCAAUGGGACUGUUACUGAUGAUGCAUCACAUGAUGUCACUAGGGCAAGCAUAGAUCAGCUGAGGAUCAAUCUUCCCGCCAGGUGUGUGUGAAA